CUACGGGUCGCACCAGUGGGGAAUAUUGCGCAAUGGGGGAAACCCUGACGCAGCGACGCCGCGUGAGCGAUGAAGGCCUUCGGGUCGUAAAGCUCUGUCAGGUGGGAAGAAACCUUCGCGGACGAAUAAUCCGUGGAAUUGACGGUACCACCAGAGGAAGCACCGGCUAACUCCGUGCCAGCAGCCGCGGUAACACGGAGGGUGCAAGCGUUGCUCGGAAUUACUGGGCGUAAAGGGCGCGCAGGCGGUCCGGUCAGUCGGAAGUGAAAUCCGUCGGCUCAACCGGCGAAUUGCUUCCGAUACUACCGGACUUGAGUACGGGAGAGGAGAGCGGAAUUCCCAGUGUAGAGGUGAAAUUCGUAGAUAUUGGGAAGAACACCGGUGGCGAAGGCGGCUCUCUGGACCGAUACUGACGCUGAGGCGCGAAAGCGUGGGGAGCGAACAGGAUUAGAUACCCUUGUAGUC
rnacentral:rRNA from 1 species